rnacentral:rRNA from 1 species
CGAAAUGCGAUAAGUAAUGUGAAUUGCAGAAUUCAGUGAAUCAUCGAAUCUUUGAACGCACAUUGCGCCCUUUGGUAUUCCAUAGGGCAUGCCUGUUCGAGCGUCACUAACAACCCCAUCACAAAAAGUGUGGUAUUGGCAGAAGUGGGUAGGGCUAGCAGUGCUGGCCCCACUCUGCUGGAAUGAAUAGGCCGGAAAUGUAGACCAUUGUCACAGACUUUCAGAGUAUUUUGAAAUGCUAAAUUAGUUUGUAGGCUUGGUUGGAAACUAGGCCAUUCGACCCCUAUUCUGUGUAAAGCAGUAAUGUUGACCUCGGAUCAGGUAGGAAUACCCGCUGAACUUAAGCAUAUCAAUAAGCGGAGGAAAAGAAACCAACAGGGAUUGCCUUAGUAACGGCGAGUGAAGCGGCAAAAGCUCAAAUUUGAAAUCUGGCACCUCAGGUGUUCGAGUUGUAAUUUGGAGAGGCAUCUUCUGGAGGGGCCCAGCCUAUGUGCCUUGGAACAGGACGUCAUAGAGGGUGAGAAUCCCGUACUUGGCUGGAUGUUCCCUCCUGUAUGUAGUGUCUUCUACGAGUC